GUGCUCGCUUCGGCAGCACACAUACUAAAAACUUGGAACAAUACGGAGAAGAUGAGCAGGUCCCUGCACAAGGAUGACAUGCAAGUUCGUGAAGCACUCCUUAUAAAA